AAUUGAUCAGAAAACACCAGAUCCCGUAGUUUCGAUCGCGUUCCCAAAUCUCGAUACCGUGAAAGAAAAUGAGGGGUAGGAGUUACAGUUACAGCCCUUCACCGCCUAGGGAUUACAGCAGACGACGUCGUAGCCCUAGCCCUAGAGGUCGCUAUGGAGGUCGUGGUAGGGAUCUUCCCACCAGUCUCUUGGUUCGCAAUCUUCGCCAUAACUGCAGGCCAGAGGAUUUACGUGGGCCAUUUGGGCAAUUUGGCCCCCUCAAGGACAUCUACUUGCCCAGGGAUUAUUAUACUGGUGUUGAAGACACCAAUGAAGUAAUAAGAGUACUGUGUUGAAGACAACAAUGAAGUAUAUAGAGUCUUGUUAUGAAGAGACCAAUCAAGUAAGUAAGAGUGUUCAAGGUGGUCUUAGUGUACAUGAAGAUGUGAAGAAAGUUGGUUUGAAUACAUUGAGAAGAAGUUGAAGUCUGGUCUUAGUGUACAUGAAGAUGUGAAGAAAGUUGGUUUGAACACAUUGAGAAGAAGUUGAAGUCUUGAAGAAUUUCAACCCAAUUUUAUCCUUGACUCCAACAAGGGAGCCACGUGGCUUUGGAUUUGUUCAGUUUGUAGACCCUGCUGAUGCUGCAGAUGCCAAAUACCAUAUGGAUGGGCAAAUUCUCCUUGGACGGGAAGUAACAGUUGUGUUUGCUGAGGAAAACAGAAAGAAGCCAUCAGAAAUGAGGGCAAGAGAUCGUGUUAGGGGUCGGUCAUAUGAUAGAAGACGGUCUUCCUCUCGUUAUUCUCGUUCACCGCGAUAUGCUCGAACCUACUCUCGAAGUCCUGAUUACUAUUCACCUUCUCCUAGGCGGAGGCGGUACUCAAGGUCAAUUUCACCUAGGGACAGAAGGUACCGGGAGCAAUCACGCUCAAGAUCUCCCUAUGGUUCAAGGAGCCGUAGCCGAAGCUUUAGUAGGAGCCGGAGUCAUAGCUUGGACUACUCUCAGUAGUGGGAUUUUGUAGAGGUGCUUAAUAUGAAAGUUGAAGAAUCUAUGUUUGAAGUUGUGAUCUAAAUAAAUAUUCAGUGAUUCUACUCCCUGGGAUUAAUGUUGACAUUAAAAUUACUGCUGCAUUGUAUUCUGGUUUUCUUUGUUCGACCAUGAGUUGAAUGCCACAUUUGAUCAUGAACAUGUGUCUCUUUGAAGCUUUUAGCUAUGUCCAAUUGGAAUGAGUUUUUGUAU